CCCUGCUUUUGUGGGGUGCUCGAGUGGCGAACGGGUGAGUAACACGUGGGUAACCUGCCCUUGACUUUGGGAUAACUUCAGGAAACUGGGGCUAAUACCGGAUAGGAGCUCCUGCUGCAUGGUGGGGGUUGGAAAGUUUCGGCGGUUGGGGAUGGACUCGCGGCUUAUCAGCUUGUUGGUGGGGUAGUGGCUUACCAAGGCUUUGACGGGUAGCCGGCCUGAGAGGGUGACCGGCCACAUUGGGACUGAGAUACGGCCCAGACUCCUACGGGAGGCAGCAGUGGGGAAUAUUGCACAAUGGGCGGAAGCCUGAUGCAGCAACGCCGCGUGCGGGAUGACGGCCUUCGGGUUGUAAACCGCUUUCGCCUGUGACGAAGCGUGAGUGACGGUAAUGGGUAAAGAAGCACCGGCUAACUACGUGCCAGCAGCCGCGGUGAUACGUAGGGUGCGAGCGUUGUCCGGAUUUAUUGGGCGUAAAGGGCUCGUAGGUGGUUGAUCGCGUCGGAAGUGUAAUCUUGGGGCUUAACCCUGAGCGUGCUUUCGAUACGGGUUGACUUGAGGAAGGUAGGGGAGAAUGGAAUUCCUGGUGGAGCGGUGGAAUGCGCAGAUAUCAGGAGGAACACCAGUGGCGAAGGCGGUUCUCUGGGCCUUUCCUGACGCUGAGGAGCGAAAGCGUGGGGAGCGAACAGGCUUAGAUACCCUGGUAGUCCACGCUGUAAACGGUGGGUACUAGGUGUGGGGUCCAUUCCACGGGUUCCGUGCCGUAGCUAACGCUUUAAGUACCCCGCCUGGGGAGUACGGCCGCAAGGCUAAAACUCAAAGGAAUUGACGGGGCCCCGCACAAGCGGCGGAGCAUGCGGAUUAAUUCGAUGCAACGCGUAGAACCUUACCUGGGUUUGACAUGGAUCGGGAGUGCUCAGAGAUGGGUGUGCCUCUUUUGGGGUCGGUUCACAGGUGGUGCAUGGCUGUCGUCAGCUCGUGUCGUGAGAUGUUGGGUUAAGUCCCGCAACGAGCGCAACCCUUGUUCACUGUUGCCAGCACGUUAUGGUGGGGACUCAGUGGAGACCGCCGGGGUCAAC
rnacentral:rRNA from 1 species